rnacentral:lncRNA from 1 species
AUAGUUAUAUUGUCAAGAAUAGAGUAAAUGAAUUUCGUCCGUCCAAUUACUAUCAACCUAGAAGGAUGCAUAAUCCUAACGUGACUUGUCAUAUUGUAGACGAAUUGGACAUAUUGCUCCUGCUUGUUUUACACGACAUAGACAUAACAGUCAAUCACAUCACUAUGAUUUGCCUAACCCCGAAGGACCCAAAAUGGCAUGGGUACCUAAAACUCAUUAAUCU